UGAAAUGAUAAUUUUUCAGUUACGUUGAAAAUAUUCCUUGUAAUUUUAAGGCAUUUUAA
rnacentral:tRNA from 1 species